rnacentral:rRNA from 1 species
ACUCCUACGGGAGGCAGCAGUAGGGAAUCUUCCACAAUGGGCGCAAGCCUGAUGGAGCAACACCGCGUGAGUGAAGAAGGGUUUCGGCUCGUAAAGCUCUGUUGUUAAAGAAGAACACGUAUGAGAGUAACUGUUCAUACGUUGACGGUAUUUAACCAGAAAGUCACGGCUAACUACGUGCCAGCAGCCGCGGUAAUACGUAGGUGGCAAGCGUUAUCCGGAUUUAUUGGGCGUAAAGAGAGUGCAGGCGGUUUUCUAAGUCUGAUGUGAAAGCCUUCGGCUUAACCGGAGAAGUGCAUCGGAAACUGGAUAACUUGAGUGCAGAAGAGGGUAGUGGAACUCCAUGCGUAGCGGUGGAAUGCGUAGAUAUAUGGAAGAACACCAGUGGCGAAGGCGGCUACCUGGUCUGCAACUGACGCUGAGACUCGAAAGCAUGGGUAGCGAACAGGAUUAGAUACCCUGGUAGGAUAGCG